CCUACGGGAGGCAGCAGUGGGGAAUAUUGGGCAAUGGACGCAAGUCUGACCCAGCAACGCCGCGUGAAGGAAGAAGGCUUUCGGGUUGUAAACUUCUUUUAAGGGGGAAGAGCAGAAGACGGUACCCCUUGAAUAAGCCACGGCUAACUACGUGCCAGCAGCCGCGGUAAUACGUAGGUGGCAGGCGUUGUACGGAUUUACUGGGUGUAAAGGGCGUGCAGCCGGUGAGACAAGUCAGAGGUGAAAUCCGCAGGCCAAACCUGCGAACUGGAUUGGAAACUGUUUCCCUUGAGUAUCGGAGAGGUCAGCGGAAGUCCUGGUGUAGCGGUGAAAUGCGUAGAUAUUAGGAAGAACACCAGUGGCGAAGGCGGAUGACUGGACGACAACUGACGGUGAGGCGCGAAAGCGUGGGGAGCAAACAGGAUUAGAUACCCGGGUAGUC
rnacentral:rRNA from 1 species